CGACGCCGCGUGAGGGAGGAAGGCCUUCGGGUUGUAAACCUCUUUUAACGAGGAAGAAACAAAUGACGGUACUCGUUGAAUAAGCCCCCGGCUAACUCCGUGC
rnacentral:rRNA from 1 species